AUUGAACGCUAGCGGGAUGCCUUACACAUGCAAGUCGAACGGAGUGGCGAACGGGUGAGUAAUGUAUCGGAACGUGCCCAGUAGCGGGGGAUAACUACCCUAAAGCGUAGCUAAUACCGCAUACUAUUGGAGCUGCCGAUAUCGGAUUGGCUAGUUGGUGGGGUAACGGCUCACCAAGGCGCCGAGCCGUAGCUGGUUUGAGAGGACGACCAGCCACGCUGAGACUGAGACACGGCCCAGACUCCUACGGGAGGCAGCAGUGGGGAAUGUUGGACAAUGGGGGAAGCACUGAUCCAGCCAUCCCGGGUGUGCGAUGAGGGCCUGCGGGUUGUAAAGCACUUUUGGCAGGAAAGCGGUACCUGCAGAAUAAGCACCGGAUAACUACGUGCCAGCAGCCGCGGUAAUUUC
rnacentral:rRNA from 1 species